AGAGGAAAGAGUCCACAGGCCCAUCCAAAGCUCCCGGCUCCAUACGUUGGCAGGCUCUGGGAGCGUUUGAUAAGCUCUUUGCCCAGCUAGCUGUUCAUGAAACAGUUCCUCAUGAAGAAUGGAUGCUUGGAAGAAGGGACCGAAAACAUCAUCCAC
rnacentral:lncRNA from 14 species